UACGGGGGGGGCAAGCGUUGUUCGGAAUUACUGGGCGUAAAGCGUGCGCAGGCGGUUUUGUAAGCCCGAUGUGAAAUCCCCGGGCUUAACCUGGGAAUGGCAUUUGGGACUGCAAGGCUUGAGUGCGGCAGAGGAGACUGGAAUUCCUGGUGUAGCAGUGAAAUGCGUAGAUAUCGAGAGGAACACCAGUGGCGAAGGCGAGUCUCUGGACGACUCCUGACACUGAGGCACGAAAGCUAGGGGAGCAAACAGG
rnacentral:rRNA from 1 species